AUGCCAGACCGCAGCGGCGGGGCGCUUGGAAGCGCAUCUCUCUUUAGUCCUCUACUGGGUACCGGUCCCCGAAAUGCCGGCAUCCUUCGGCGCCUGCCAGUUCUCAAAAGUGCUGCUGUCCGUCUUGUGGUCCCCGGAUUUGGCAGCACGGCUCGUUUGACGCUGUAGUUAAAGGAGUUGUUUUCCAACCUUGUUCUACAGAAUCGGUUUUGACAGAGGAAGUAACCUCAGCAGUUCAACCUCAGCGACAAAAGCAACCUAAAUGACACACCAUGCUCAUCGCUGUUCAGCUCCAGUUGCAGAGCCUUGUACCUACUAUUCCUGGGCACCUGAGAAAGGGGGGGCUAUAACAGAGGAGAUACACCAGCUGUGCAAGUCAGUAGCAUUCCCCUCUAUCCCUUAAGUCAUGAUGUUCUGCAAACUGAAGAGAGGAUAUGGAAUCUCCUGUGUCAUAUAUCCUGUCUGCCUGACUGAUCUGUCCUUGGGAAGGUGGGGUAUUAUUCAAGUAGUCCCUCUCUUGGUCAGACUUUCAGAUACUGCUCAAUUUGCUUACCUCCUCCCACACCUCUGUCACUAAGCAAAGGAGUUCCUCUACCUGGGCACUGCCUCCCACAUGUGUUCUCACUGCUACUGUCCAGUUCUGAUAUAAGAUUAGGGGCACAACCUGCAGCUGACACCUGGGCAGGCAGAGGCAUAAGAGGAUAUACAAGUAGGCAAGUCUAUGAAAGCAUAAUAAGAAAACAAUCUCUGGUGGUGCUAGGA